rnacentral:lncRNA from 1 species
GGUGGUCUAGCGAUUAUGGCGCUGGACUGCUGAGCCAAAGGUCGCGGGAACUUAUCCCGUCCACGGUAGCCGCAUUUUCGAUAGAGGUAAGAAUGGUAGAGGUCCGUCUAUUUAGAUUUAGGUGCACGUUAAAGAACACCAGAUAGUCAAAAUUCCCGGAGCCCUCCACUACAGCAUCCCUCAUAAUCGUGUCGUGGUUUUAGGACGCAAAACCCCAACAAUUAUUAUUA